CAGCCGCCGCGGUAAUACGUAGGGUGCAAGCGUUAAUCGGAAUUACUGGGCGUAAAGCGUGCGCAGGCGGUUCGCUAAGACAGAUGUGAAAUCCCCGGGCUCAACCUGGGAACUGCAUUUGUGACUGGCGGGCUAGAGUAUGGCAGAGGGGGGGUAGAAUUCCACGUGUAGCAGUGAAAUGCGUAGAGAUGUGGAGGAAUACCGAUGGCGAGGGCAGCCCCCUGGGCCAAUACUGACGCUCAUGCACGAAAGCGUGGGGAGCAAACAGGAUUAGAUACCCGCGUAGUCCCUGUCUCUUAUA
rnacentral:rRNA from 1 species